UUAAUGUUAGUUUUUAUUAAUUUUGAUUGUUUGGUAACAUAAUAUUAAUCUAUAUAGCAAAUAUAUAUAAAAAAUAAUAAUUUGCCGUGUCCCUGUUCCUAUUUUUUUGAAAUCACCGUGUCCAUGUCUGUGCUUCAUAGUGUAUUGACAUUGCAAUUCUUUUAUUUCCAUGAAUUAUGCACAUCAGUUAACUUACCUCAAUCUGUAGUAUCAUUUUAAAUCUUCUGUAUCUAACAAUGUUGAUGCAUGCAAUACUGGGUUGAAUUUUUUGAGAAAACUAAUGAAGUGCACUUUGUUUGACACUAGGUUCUGGACCUGUGUCAUAGAAUUGCGUGACGUUAACCAUUAUUUGAUGUUGAUUUCCUAGUUAUUCACUUCUUACUUUGAUAUCAUUUCUUACUUUGUUUCUCCAUCAAAAGGUUAUUAAUCAUCAACCAUACGAUCAGAAAGCAGACAUAUUCAGUUUUGCUAUUGUUCUGUGGGAGCUUGUCACCGCUAAGGUUCCAUAUGAUACGAUGACUCCUUUACAAGCUGCCCUGGGAGUGAGACAGGGCAUGAGACCGGAUCUUCCAGACAAUACGCACCCCAAGUUCCCUGAUGCUGUAAAUUUGAAUUAUGUAUUGUUUCAAUUUGUUAUGCUAGAUAGAUGUGAC